ensembl:lncRNA
CCCAAUUCAGGGUCUGCAGCCUUUUUUUCCCUCACUUUAUUUAUCUCAUUUUAGACAUACAGUCAAGGGGUCUGCAGCCUUAAAGGCCGCAUUUUAAGGCCAAAGGCUGUCCCAAUUCAAAGGCUGCUCGAAAUGCGGCCCUCAAAUGCGUCCUUCAUUUCCCUGAAUUUUAAGGAUGGGUCAGUGUAGCCUUCAUGGCCCAACAUAUCCCAGACUUCAUAACGCGGCGGUGGUGUGGAUAAUUUUGCCGAAAAAAACCGUGGAAGCGAAGCGGCCGAAGAGUACUUUCAAAACUUAUCACACAUUUGAUUUCCAUGUGUGACGACUGCAAGUGUCCAGAGUGAGGACAGACUGAGGGACCCACUGCUGCACAUCAUCUGUGAGGCUUUGCACCCCUGAUGAUCCACCAGGACAAACUCAGCAGUGUGUGAGGAAGAGGAGGAGGAAGAGCCAGCAGCAGCUGACAGAUGGAGAGAAUAGACAGACUGUUCCCUGUUUGUGAAGGACUGCUAGGAAAGUUUAACAUAACUAAUUGUCUGGCCUGAAUCAGUCUUAUUAGGUAAUGUUCAAAUAAUGUUAUCAUUCCAGUGUUUUCAGUGUGGGAGAAAGUACUCAGGGCCUUCAAGUUACACACUAUGAAAGGCAGCAACAAGUUUAAUAUUCAGAAACCUAAAGUAUGUAUCAGCAGCAGAAUGGAGCUAAAAAUAAAUGUUUGUUUCAGUUCUAUGAAGCUUUGAGUAUUUUGGAUUAGUAGUACUGCUGUGUUUGUUGCAUCAUAUUACUGUAAUUGUUUAUAUGCUUUAUAUAUUCUGAGGUAAGUUGAUCUAUAGUGUUACAUCAUAUUCUAUAAGGAUGUUAUGUGUUUGUAGACUUUCUGCCCAGUUUGACCCAUUUAGCAGAAGUCAGCCUGUUUAAGGCUCUGAUAUCUAUUCUGUAUGACUUAAAGCAGUUAUGACAUGGUCUGAUUUUCUCACCCAAUAAAGGAAUAUUUAAUAUAUCAGUCUGAUCUUCAUUCUAUCAGAAACAGUUAUCACAGCUCGUACAUUUUCUUUUUACACAUAUAUGUAAGCAUUGAGCCAAAUUUAGUAAUGCCAACAUAUUGAAAGAACAAUGUUUGUCUCUUAUAUAUAAUACAUCUGUAUAUACACUGUCAGAGAUACUUGUCUUUGAGUGAAGAUUUAA